rnacentral:lncRNA from 1 species
UUUUUAAAAUUGCUCCCAGAGGAAGGUAAGUUCUGUUCUACUUCAUCUUAUCUUCUACUUCAAAAAAAUAAAAAAUAAAAAAUAAUAAAAAAAAUAAUAAAAUAUAUAAAUAAAAUGAAAACCUAAUUCUUUCUCUCUCCUAUCAUCUUCAUCUUCUAUCUUUUUCUUUUUUUUUUCUUCCCUGCAGAAUGGCCACACUGACGAUGCCGAAGAGACCCACGCCGCUGACGCUUCAACCAGUCGUCGUUGCUCGUCGUGUCGACACUGGACGACGCCGAGGGUCCCAUCAAACGCGAUCUCCCUCACUGGACGUAGCCUUCGGGCAAGCCUCCUUCCUGGUUGCGAGACCCGUGCGACCUUCCUCACCAGCCUCUCCUUCCUCGUUGGUCGCAGCCCCUUCCGUGCGUUCCUCCUCGCCGGCCGCCACCUCCUCGGCGCCGAUACUGCCACCUCCGCCGCCGUCAACCUCCUCGCCGAUUGCAGCCACACGCCAGUUUUUGCAGAUGAGAUGAGUUAUGAUGAUGAGGAGGUGAAACCUCAGAUCUUGAAGCAAAUACAGGAUCGAAAAAUGCAACCCAACCACCAUCAGCUUGAGUUUUAUGCGACUUACUCCUCAGGGAAGUUUUCUUUAACUUACUUUUAUUUUAUUUUGUAAACUUCCCCGUUGAUUGAUUUUUUUUUUCUUUUUCCACAUUGAGGACAAUGUGAGGAGUAAGUGUGGGGGGAGAUAUGGUAUGGAAAUUGAAGUGUUUUUUUUUAUUUAUUGAUGAGAUUGAUUGAUGAUUGAUGAAUAUUCUGCAAUUUUUGGGAAUUUUUAUUCUUUUUCUGCCAUUUUUCUUUGAGUUUUUGGUGUUUGAGUUAGAGGCCUAUAAACACAUCUAUUUUUAUGAUUCUCAGCAGUUUCUCCGCACUUGCACUUGC